UGCAAAUAAGGGGUUUCAAACCCUCAGUAUAUCAUUCAUAACCAUUACUCGCCUCAAACCGGCCAAAAUCCUAGUUCGUCUUGCGCUUUCAUCGCAAAUCGACCUUCUCGAGUGCUGAACCUGAUAAAAACCACAAGGAAUAUGUCAUAAUAGGCCCGCCUUGCACUUUCCUCGCAAAUCGACCUCCUCGAGUGCAGAACCUGAACAAACUACAAGGAAUAUGUUAUUAUAGGCUAAUGGGACAUAACCCAAUAGAAAGAACUCAAAAAGCACCCAAAAACACGAAGUUGGAAUAACUCGAGCUCUGAGCCCUCUUCUAAAAAAUUACUAAAUUCAUAUCACCGGAUUCCUCGUCUCGCCACGAGUCCGUACAUAAAAG
rnacentral:lncRNA from 1 species